rnacentral:lncRNA from 1 species
CUCUCACUCUCUGCACAUUGUCUGGCUGUGGAUCUCUGUGUUUGUUCCCAUCUGCCGCAGGAGGAAGCUGCUCUGGCGAUGGGUGAGCAAGGCACUGAUCUUAUGAACUGACCUUGUUAACACAGCCCAAAUCACCCCUCUGCACUGGCCCUGUCUCAGUACAGUUCAAUGGGUUUAACUGUUGCUUUCAAAGUCUCUGUCUGAAGAUGAGUAAUUUUCCUGGAGUGUCUUUGGUCUCUUUUAUAAAUAGAACUUUGGUGGUUGAGUUUCACUUGUGUUGUAGACAUGCUCAGACAUGUCUGGGUCUUCUGUGUCUGCAGCUUGGCUUGUUUUUAUUCUUAUGACAACUUACUCUCCACUACUAACCCACUGAUAUGAGUCAUCUGUUUUAUCUAGCCCUGAUUCUUCCAAUAAGAAAAUUACAAGUUAUUUAAUUGGACGAAAUUUUAACUGGAAAUUUCAUGUAUGCAUUUCAGUAUGCACUUCAAUGUAUUAAACAUAGACAUAUAAAAUGCCUUUGUACACUGAAUUUGAAAUCUUCUAAACCAUGUUAUUAGGUAUGGUUUUUAGAAUAAUGUUGACUUGGAAUUCAUGGCCAAUCAAAAGUUUAGCUUCACUUAUGUUUGUGGUUUUAUUUGAGGAAUAGUGUUUAUGUAUAUAUGUGCAUAACUGAUUAUAUUUUAUCCUUAUUUGAAAAAAAAAACUCAGAAAAGUAAAAAGAACCAAUAAGAUAAAAAUACUUAACUGUCUUAAUAAUAUCCUAACAAUGGAAUUUGGGCAAGACUAAAAUAAACUGAGAAUAUUGUCACUUUCAAAGGUUCUUUUGACUUCGGCAGCUUGUCUGCUGAGGUAUACUGAAAGAAAGAAAAAAGUGCUUGUAUGUAAGAUGUUUCAGAAAUAUUCCACUCAAGACUCUGAAGUAUGAUGAAAGAUAGAAUGACAUUUUGUAGCUCUUUGAAGAGAAAACCCAGUGUUUAAAUGACUUAUAAUUUUCUUAUUUCUAUUUAUCAUAAUUUGCAAUGACAUGUGAAAUAUUAACCCUGUGUAGGUUUAUCCUAACCUUGGAGGCUCCUCUAGGUUUCUUGUAACCACUUUUCUAUAAGAAGCUUCAAAAAUGACUGGACUGUAAGAGUUGUCAGUAAAUGUGUUGAAUGAAGGAAAGCAAUGAACUUGGGUGAGUGUUCAAAGAAAAGCUGUCCAGGAGCAUGUGAGGCGAGGCAGGUAUAUUUUACAUAUUGAUGGAGGUAGCCAAAUGUUCUUCAAAAUAAUGCAAUGCAUUUUUUUCUUGUUGAACUAGAAUACCUAAAACUAUAUGUAGGUUUAUUUUAUUUCUUGUGAAAGAGUUAAUUUAGGGCUAUUGCAAAGGUGUCCGAUUAUUUAUAUUUUAAACAGUUGAGAAGAAAAUGUGUUGAGAAAUGUUGCAUUAAAGUUUUGUAAAACAAACAAGCAACCAGACAAAGGCCCAUAAAGUUGAUGGUUUGUUUUCUCUUGGGAAGUAACAUAAAACUAAAACAUUUGUAAACAUUGCCUGGACAGAAACUUUAGGGAAUAUAUUUUAGAUAAAGGAAAGAACAAAUAUAUAAAUAAUAGAAAAAAAUCCAAAUACUGAAUAAUACAAAUGAGGUUAAAUGAAUAUUGUACACCUGUACUUGGAGUACUAUGGAGUCUUACAAGGAAUGAAGCAUCAGAAAGAUGUCCUCUUGUAAUUAAGAAAAGCACAUAUCUAUCCUGUUUUCUUGAAGUCUCAGUGUUUGUAUAUGCACACGUGUUUUUGAGCAAGAAAAAUACAGAGAAAACUUGGGAGAUACAAACCCAAAUGCAACCGUGCUCCCUCCAGAAGUGAAUGGACUGGGCUUCUUAGAUAGGGAGUCUUUACUUAAUACAUUUUUUUUUAAAAGGAAGAAAAGACACAUUAUAUGGGAACAUGGUGAGUCACUUGGCAAGCACAUAGUUAAUAAGUUUGCAGGAAGUUUCCAGAUUUUUUUUUUUGAGUAAUCCUUUGUUAGACUAUAAACUAGGUUAGGCUAAGUUGGUGAUUUCUGAUCUUGCAGUAGCCAUGGACUCUGUAGUUUGCAUAGGGGCUCAGGUAGAAUUCCUGUACGUGGAGAUGAUGAAAGCAAAGCGCUCGCUGAGAGAGGAGUGAGGGGGUUUCUCUGCCUUCCCUUUUCUUAAUCUUCUCACAGCUCCUAGGGCUCUGAACAACACAGUUUGAAAUACACUGGUCUCUUCCUGGGAUGCCUUUGAUUUAGUCCUUCCUGAAGGUCAGAGGAAUAUACCAGUUCUGUGAUUUUAAAAUACAGAGAAUAAAGAAUGCCUAGAGGUAACCCCUGAGUUCCACCUUGUCUUGCAGAAGACAUUUGGAUAGGAAUCACUCACAGCGUGCUAGAUGUUUCUGGCUGCACAAUAGAGCGAGGGUGGCUUUUGGCUGGCACUCCUUAGCUUUGGAGUCCUCGCCCUUUCACUCUGAAGGUUCAGGCAUAGGAUCUGCACCCUCUGUAUGGCUAGACAACUAGACCUCUUGUUAAGGCAAUACCUGUAAGUCCUGUAAACCGUUGCGCCACCUCUCUUAGUUAUAACUAGACAAGCAGCUUUUAAAAGUAAAGUUGCUUUGUAUUUAGUUUAAGAAUAUGCCUUUUCCAGAUGCAAGCAACUGAUCAAAGGACCUGCAUUUUCUUCAAGACUUAAAUAUUUAAUAGUGGAAUCUGUCAGGAAUCAUUCUUUUAGGACAUGGACACAAUCUCAUACUCACAGUUUUAGGCAAACACUCGAAUUUUCAGAUGAUCUACUCCAUUAGACCAUUUCUCGGUGCUACAUACAUGUUUGACUUGUUAUAAUUUUUAAAGUUUUGAUAUAUGCAUACUAGUGUGUUUAAAAUAACUGAAAAAAUACUACUAUCCACAUAAAUAAAAUUUCUACCUGUCCUUUGGGUGGCUUAAUUGCUCUCUCCUCUCUCUUCUUUCUCUCCUUUCUCUCCUCUCUUCUCUCCAGAAAGGGGGUGGGGGGGAGAAAAAACCCCAUAAUGUCGAGGAAGAAAAAGAAAUCUUUUUUCCCCAUAAGGUGGCACUGUGGCUCUUUCAGUCUUUCAAACAACCCGUGGACCCAACUGGUAUUUCUCUCCUUGUCUUCCUUCCCCCACCGUUUCCAGGUGAUCCUCAAUCAGCCUCUCAUAAAAAUGAGAAAUAAUUUCAAAGGAAACUCGAUACUUACAAGUUUGAGGUAACUUGCAAGCAACUUCAAUUUCUCUGUUUAGCCUUCUUUACAAGAACCCCCCCAUUCCCGGCUUUGCUUUUACAAUAAAGUUUUUAUAG